UCACACAUAUCACAGAGUGGUUAUGAUCGCCGCUUGUCACGCGGCUGGCCCGGGUUCGAUUCCCGGCGGGGGAG